rnacentral:lncRNA from 1 species
CACUAUGGAUAAAGUUCCUGUUUAUACUGAGAAAAACUGGAUGUUUCCUGAAGCGGUGCUAGCCACCCAAUCUGUUAUCAAGAAGGAAGUGGCACAGAACUUACCUAAAGGAAAGCUGAGCACUACAAACAACAGCUCUAGCCCACCUGCAGCCAAGUAAUAACCUGAUUUAAGAUCAUUUGCUUGAGUUUGAUUUCUUUAUGAGCUGGUGGGUAACUCUUGUGAUUUUAAAAUAAUUUCAGGGCACAGAUUGUUGGUUGGCCUCCAGUGAGGUCCUACAGGAAGAACACAUUGGCCACCACUUGUAAGAACAGUGACGAAGUUGAUGGGAAGCCUGGUUCUGGACCCCUCUUUGUGAAGGUCAGCAUGGAUGGUGCUCCAUAUCUGAGGAAAGUUGACCUGAGGAGCUACACUAACUACGGGGAGCUUUCUGCAGCCUUGGAGAAA